GGACCAUUGUGACACUGCAGGGCCCCAGGGAACUCUUUUGCCUGCGACGAGGGUCAGCACAAGAGACACCGACACCAACUUUGGAGAACAAGUGUGUAAUUUUCCUGCAGUGCAAAGCAGCAAAGAAUGACAAAAGGCUGAGCUCAGUAACGCACCUCAUCGUUCCUACCAAGAGUGCCUGGAGUUCUGCAAAGUGAAAAACACAUCACCAGACAUAACCUCCUUCCACUUCUGUUCCCCUUCUCAAACAGCAUCAACUGCAACAAUGGAUUCUAAUUCAGUGUUCCAGAACAGCCACCCAUUGAUUCCAACACUCCAUUAAAUUCUCCCUGGGAGCUGUUCCUCCGGGGGGGCCGCCAA